rnacentral:rRNA from 1 species
CCUACGGGAGGCAGCAGUGAGGAAUAUUGGUCAAUGGACGAGAGUCUGAACCAGCCAAGUAGCGUGAAGGAUGACUGCCCUAUGGGUUGUAAACUUCUUUUAUAUGGGAAUAAAAUGUUCCACGUGUGGGAUUUUGUAUGUACCAUAUGAAUAAGGAUCGGCUAACUCCGUGCCAGCAGCCGCGGUAAUACGGAGGAUCCGAGCGUUAUCCGGAUUUAUUGGGUUUAAAGGGAGCGUAGGUGGAAUGUUAAGUCAGUUGUGAAAGGUUGCGGCUCAACCGUAAAAUUGCAGUUGAAACUGGCAGUCUUGAGUACAGUAGAGGUGGGCGGAAUUCGUGGUGUAGCGGUGAAAUGCUUAGAUAUCACGAAGAACUCCGAUUGCGAAGGCAGCUCACUGGACUGCAACUGACACUGAGGCUCGAAAGUGUGGGUAUCAAACAGGAUUAGAUACCCCAGUAGUC